GCGGUUAACCAGGCUGGCCGUCCACCUGUGCUGUUGUGACGUUGCCCACCUCUGUGAGACCGACAACGGCGAGCCCUUUCACCACCAUCACCACCACGAUCGGAAUCUGGAUCGUGACCUUCCAGCAGUAAUCCCCGAAGGCAUGGACAGUGUUGACACACACGGGUGGAUUGCUCUUGACAGUUCUAAAGGCACCAAGUACUUUGAGUAUGUGUGAGGUGGUCCACGGCUGUUGGUGGAGGCUGGAACUGUUCUCAGAUCCACUGUAAGCAGAAAAAAUCUGGCAUCACUAUGAAAUGCAUCCACCAUGCAGGUGUCAAAUAUUUUCCUGUUCAUAGAAGCAGUGGCGGAACUGACAAGAAACUGCCUGUAGCAGUUCUUGGUGGAGCAAAAAUCAGGUUCUGCAGCAGCUUUUACAGUCCAUGGACCACAAUGUACAGACUCUUGAUUUCCUCGCAUAUGGUUAAUUGCAAAGCCCGUGAGAUGGCAAGAAAAAAUGUCAUCAUUACCACCUUGGUCCAAUCCCACAACAGCGAGAACUGAAAAUACGGUUGACAGCUUGCAAGGACAUAGUCAAGAACGCGUGCUUACCAAAUAUCUUACAUGAACAGCCGGGGAAGAUUCAUGCUGCUAGCAUCGCCUUGAUGACCUGCACUGGCCGGGUGGCAGAAUUUACGCGUCGGAAGUGAUGUCACAACAGCCAGGCAUUGCGAUUGGAUGUCUACGGAGGAGGAGGCAAGUGACCGACAGGUUGUGCCUGAAGGUUGCAAGAAUCGCUUGUCGGACGAUCCAUGCUACGACUCUAGCAACCGGGUUGUACGACCAGUUCACACAGGAUAACCCACCUGCACAACUGGGACGCGCACCCCUAAAGGUCUGGAUGUAGAGCUUCACCAUGUAACUAUCUCCCCAUAUCUCUCACCAGCAUUCCCUGCAAAAUAUUAGAACAUGUGCUGUGUUCUCACUUAGCAUCCUUCCUCGAAAGUAACUCCUUCUUCUCAUCUGCACAGCAUGGCUUCCGCAAGACCUUCUCUUGCGAAACGCAGCUUCUUUCAUUUACUCACAAAUUACACCUCAUAUUAGACCGUCGCUCCUGUGCUGAUUGUAUUUUUCUAGAUAUGUCCAAAGCAUUCGAGAAGGUGUGCUACAAAUUUCUGUUGCUUAAAUUGAGCAAAUUAAAUAUUGACCCGAAUCUUUUAACAUGGCUGGAACAUGUUCUUACUAACCGUUCGCAGUUCGUUUAUGAUAACAAUCAUGGCUCUCCUCUUUCUGCAGUUCACUCUGGCGUUCCCCAGGGUUCCCUCCUAGGGCCCCUCCUCUUUUUAAUAUACAUUAACGAUCUGACUACCCAUGUCUCUUGUGAUAUUCAUCUGUUCGCCGACGAUUGUGUCAUUUUUCGGGAAGUAACAUGCGACAAUGACGUUAGCAUGCUAUAGCGCGAUCUAACAAAAAUUAUGGAUUGGUGUAACACGUGGAAGAUGGAUUUAAAUGUUAACGAAUGCAAGUUGCUGUGUGUAUCUCGUACACAUACUCCUGUUCCAUCUUAGUGCUUGUACAACACCGCCCUUGAUCAUGUUUCGUCAUAUAAGUAUCUUGGUGUCCACAUUACUUCCUCUCUUACCUGGUCGAUCCAUAUUAAUUCCGUUAUGAACAACGCUAACCGUACUUUAGGCUACUUACGACGGAAUUUUUCCGCAGCUCCUCGUCCACUAAAACUGUUACUUUAUAAAACACUAGUUCGGCCUAAACUAGAAUACGCUGCAUCCAUAUGGGACCCCUCUUUUAGUUCUUUGAUCAAUUCAAUCCAGCUCAUACAAAAUAAUGCCGCACGUUUCAUUACCCACAACUAUUGCCGUGCUGCUAGUGUCACCCUUAUGAAAGAGUCAUUAUCACUUCCGUCACUAGCCUCGCGGCGUAAACUUGCUCGUCUAUCAUUAUUUCACAAAGUUUACCAUCAUAUUCCUGCACUACGUGCUCAGUUGUUACCGCCUCCUUCCUAUGUUUCAUCUCGCUUAGAUCAUCAACACAAAGUUGGCAUUGCUCCCUGCCAAACAUCUGCCUGUUCUCAUUCUUUCAUUCCCCGUACAUCGGAAGAGUGGAACCGCCUUCCAGGUAACAUCACUGACAUAUAUGACCAUUCAAAGUUCAAUGCUGCACCAAUUACUUUACUGGAGUUUUCUAAUUGAUUGUGAAAUAUAUGGUGUACUGCAUAACAAUGUUACAUUUUGGUAUUUAUGUGGCUCAUUGUGACUUAUUUUAGUGUUAUUUAUCUAAUUGCUUGGUAUUUUGUGUACUGUUGCGUUUAUACUGACCUGUAUUUAUUUUUUAUUACCUUUAUAUAUUGUGUUUGUGUGUAAUAACCCACUCCCCUCUGUAAUGCCUUCGGGCCUUGAGGAGUAAAUAAAUAAAGGUGCACCGUGUGAAUCAAUCCUUAGAGCAUCUGAAAAAUAGUAAUAUAUGAUUAACCUACGCUCACACAGCAGCUCUCUUUAAACUCCCCUACAACUGCAACUGAAGCUCUUUGUUAAGAAAAUAUUCGCUCACUCUACAGCCUGAUUAGGCAACACAUAGCAAACCAGGAAUCCAGGACAGCAGUACAGUCAGGUGUGAAAAGAUAAAUGUUUCCUUUUACCGCAAAGGUAGACGUAGUUGCAGUCAAGCUGAAAUGCAAGCAGAUGCGUCACGGGA